CCCCUUCAUGGGAUGUAUCAUGAAAGCCAAGAGGGGCCCACAGGAGACCAGCUGGUUCCCAGCACUACAGGCCAUUGCACCAGGUCAGAGUGCCCCCAGCCCUGCGCUGCAACAGCUGCCCACAUGUGGGAUUGCCCUGAAAUUGCCCUGGCUAAUUGUGCUUAGAAAAGAGGUCACAUAAUGCAUCAGAAGGAAGCAAGGCUGGAAUGAAGACUGGAUCUGAUAACAUGCUGGGGCUGACGGGCGAGCCACACCACUCAAGCCAGCCGCCCGACCCCAGGGGACUGAAGUGCUCUAUGGACCAGGAGGAGCUUAUGAGGCAGCAUGUGGCCAUCCUGCAUGACAUGCAGCAGACCCUGGCGCAGAAGAUCUGGGAGGACGCAGAGUAGCGGACCCACAUGUGGGGCCAGCUCGUGUGGCAGGGUGACAACGUGUGCCAUCAUGCAGGAAAUGGCAGCACACCCAGCUGCUGUCACUGCUCCUGCCUACUACCCUUCUGCCCCCCGUUAUGCUCAUUCCCCCUGUCCCUGUCCCACAAGUGAUACUCAUGCCCUCUCCCCAAGUGAUGCCCAUGUCCCCUUCCCCUGCCAUCCCUGAUCCCCCUGCCAUCCCUGAUCCCAGUGUCCCGCCUCCUGAUUAUCCCCCUCUGGUCCCAGGACCCACCCAACCCCAAGUUCACCGAGGUCCCCACACCCAAGGUGAGGCAGCCAGCAGCCCCCCAUCCCCCCCCCGACCUGAGCCCCCCUCCCAGUUAGGAGCCCCCUCCCC